UACGAAGGGUGCAAGCGUUACUCGGAAUUACUGGGCGUAAAGCGUGCGUAGGUGGUGAGUUAAGUCUGUCGUGAAAGCCCCGGGCUCAACCUGGGAAUGGCGAUGGAUACUGGCUCGCUAGAGUGCGGUAGAGGAGAGUGGAAUUCCCGGUGUAGCAGUGAAAUGCGUAGAGAUCGGGAGGAACAUCAGUUGCGAAGGCGGCUCUCUGGACCGUAACUGACGCUGAGGCACGAAAGCGUGGGUAGCAAACAGG
rnacentral:rRNA from 1 species